ACGAACGCUGGCGGCAUGCCUAACACAUGCAAGUCGAACGAGACCUUCGGGUCUAGUGGCGCACGGGUGCGUAACGCGUGGGAACCUGCCCUUAGGUUCGGAAUAACUCCCCGAAAGGGGUGCUAAUACCGGAUAAUGUCUUCGGACCAAAGAUUUAUCGCCUUUGGAUGGGCCCGCGUUGGAUUAGCUAGUUGGUAGGGUAAAAGCCUACCAAGGCGACGAUCCAUAGCUGGUCUGAGAGGAUGAUCAGCCACACUGGGACUGAGACACGGCCCAGACUCCUACGGGAGGCAGCAGUGGGGAAUAUUGGACAAUGGGCGAAAGCCUGAUCCAGCAAUGCCGCGUGAGUGAUGAAGGCCUUAGGGUUGUAAAGCUCUUUUACCCGGGAUGAUAAUGACAGUACCGGGAGAAUAAGCUCCGGCUAACUCCG
rnacentral:rRNA from 1 species